GCUGCCGAGGCAGAGCCAGACUGCAGUUACAGCUAGCUGGCGCCAGUGAAAAUUUACAUAAAGGGGGCCCCAGUUCAAGAGGGAGCUGCAGCAGGAUGCUGCCAGGCAAGGCUCCCCCCCGGCCCCCAGAGACGGCCACGAGUUCUAGAAUAUGGAGGCUACCCUAUCUGCUUACUGACAGUCCAGAGUCACGCCAAAAGUCAAGUAGUAAUCUCAGUGUUUAUAAAAACUGUCAGUGGUCUCUGACAAAGAAAUGCCCCCUUGAAACAGGUUCCUAGCAGAACUGCAAAAUGCUGCACUGGUCAGGAAGGUUUUGCCUACCAAUAACAAGGAACUGUAGCCUCCAAAGUAGAGCAAUCCGGUUUUAACCUACUGACAACAGGCUCAGAUGUUGCGUCCAAAAACCUGAAGAGAUGCACAAAGCAACAACUGAUAUUUUCCCACAAUGAUUAUCACAUUAGAGUGACAACCAUUAACCAUGUAAGUGAUCUGCUGUUACUCGUCUAUUAUUUCACGUGCAUCUUUUGAUUUAUAUUACUUUCAGACAGAUUUGUGUAAGUUAACACAUUUAAGCACUGUGCAGAAUACAUCUUUCAGUGAUGCUUUUGUCAUUUGCCGAAUGAGUCAUCAGCUGAACAGGCUCAGUACUUGGAAAUAAAGGGCACCAAUGCUGCCUUAAAAAAAACACACACACAGAGGCAAAACCUGAGCCUUGUGUUACCUACAUGAAAUUACACACACCAGCUCUACUGCCUUAUGCACAAAUCCCAGCACAACACUACCAUUCUCAGCACUGAAGGAGACAGUAUAAAGUCAGAUCCUUGACUCGGUGCGUUUCUUGUCUCCACUCCAGUCCUCUCAGGAAAAUCCGGGCCGGAGCUUGCAGGCAGCCCCGCGGCCGGGUUCUUCAGCUGCUGCCUGGGGGCGGCACCACCCCGCUUCCAGAACGUUCCGAGUGACGUCACGCCCACUCCCGCUGCUCUGCCGUCUUCCCUGUGCCUUGUUGCGCGGCCAGCUAGGGCAGAGGCGAUUUUCAGACGCGGCGCGUUUCCACGCGGCGGGGUCAUCGUCCAGAAACGCGCAGGCAGGCUGCCAGGAGCAGGGCGGGCUGCAUGCUCGGCACGGGCCCGCUGACAGGGCAGAGGGCUCGCAAGGCCCCACCACGCCUCGCAGCCCAGGCGGGCCGAGCCGGCCGCAGAACCUGCGCGGCCGCCAUUUUAGGGUCUUACAAAGGCAGAGGGCGGCUUUGGUGGUGGUUGCUGGUUUUGUCUUUAAGUGUCAGAGUAACACUGGAGAAAAAGACAUAAUCAUAGUCCCUUCCAUUCUCCAGUGAUUGCCAUUACAAAAUAAAUAAAUAAAGUGAUUGUUUUUCCUACAUUCAAUGCAAUAUGUUGAAAAGCUUCUACUACUUUGAGUACUCAAAGCCGGUUUCUCAGUCUUUUCUUCACACAUGCACACAGUUUUCUAGCCUGUGAUCAGAAAGGCCCUCAAACAGCAGAUGUUACAGUCAAAAGUAAUAAAGCCAGUUGUCUUCAAAGUAAUUAUUAGCUGUAUGGUUUCAGUUGGUACAUAUGGUAGACAAUAUCCUCAUUUUAAGUGUCAUAGUUGAUACAUCUCAGAAAGGUACAGAAAAAAAUCUGCUACAAAAUGAUUUGGGUAAGUAUUUCAUAGGCAAAAUUUGUCUUAAAAAGAGUAAAAACAUCAUGAUGAAACCUGUCUUUAGUAGCUCAAAAGAAAAAUAAGGGGAAAAAAAAUCACGGAACAAGGGAAAACUCUUUAGGCAGUACAUAGCAGCCCAAAACAUCCCUUUUCCCUCUUUGCCUUUUUUUUUUCCAAAGCAUGAAACUGAACACUCAUGUAACAGCCAGAAUCUUGGUAGCUCCCUAACCUUCCUUGAGUUAGUCUUUGGACAGCACAGAAAAUCGUGCUCAUUGCUGUAAUAUGGAACUGCCUGUCAAAUCACAUGCUUAUCUUAGCCACUAUGGUUUACUUCAAGAUAUUUUACAGCAGAAGCCUGUAGCAAUAGAAGGAGCAGGAAAGGCAGGACUAACACUAGUUGUAUCUGGUUUUCUACUAUAUAAAAGGGGUUAGAAAGCACUUAAAACAAGAAACAUUCAGGCUGCACCACAGUAAAAUGUUGUGUUCCCUUUGUUUCAGAAAAGUAAAAUACUGGUUGACUCCUUAGCAACCACAGAGAAGAAGAAAAAGUCAUAUUUUACUCAAAUUUACAUGAUUUUUUUUUUAAAUUUAUUUACUGAAUACUGAAAAACCGAAAGGCCUAAACAUGCAAGUCAAGAUGAUGCAGGAAAAAAAAUAUAUAUAUAUAUAUUUGUUUAACUCAUAAAUCCUUUAAAGACACUAAAUUCUGGAGAAAACCAUAGUAAAUUUUACAGCUAAAAAUAAACUUGGAUUUUAACUAUUCCAGAAUAAUCAUGAUGUGAUUAAGUAUUUAAGAUUAAAAACAGUUUUUAGUGCUCCACAACCAUUUAGUUCUACUACUUAAAGAACCAAUCAAGUCAGCUGUUUGAAAGUGACUUGCAUAGAUUGAAGAAUAUUGCAUUAAUUCAGCAAUCCAUUCCAGUUUGGUUUGAAUCCUGCCUGAGAUUGUUUUCUCCCAGAAUAUCUUCUUAAAUAGAAGAUGCAGCUGUGCAACUUCAGACAAUUCUGAGUUUUAAGAAGAACAUAAAAAAUAAUCAAGCCAUGUUAGAAUGGUUCCAAGCAGCUACAAUUUAGGAAGCAUUUGUAUGUUUAUUUGCUACAUGAAGCACAAAUGGAAAAGGAGAAUAGUUUUCUUAAAUACACCACUUGGAAAAAAAAAAUAAACUCCUUCAGUGUUGCACAUUUCUCUUGGAAAUUCACGUGUAUUUGACACUGCUACCCUAUUUGGAGUUUGUUUAUUUCUGGAAGCCUACCAUUCAAGUUCAGGUAUCAGCACUACAAAACUAAUUGUUCUAGAAUGCAGCAGGUCUCUGAAGUGGAGAAUCUGACAACGCAUCUCACAUUUAAAAUGCACAGCAAUCAAUUCAGUUAAAGCUGAUAAUUCAUUACACACAACUGUUUCUAAUUUAAGUCAUGCACAUAUAAAUUAUAUAUUUAAUAAAUGUAUCUUUGUAUUCUUUAGAGUGCAGUGUUCACAUACAAGUAAAUCAAAUGUUUUUUGUUUGUUCUUCAGUAGUUAAAAAGGCAACUAUUAACAACAUUGGAGAGAGGGAAAGAGAGUCAUACUGACAGUUACCAGUGUAUUCUGCACACCAACCGUUACUGUAUCCUUGAACUUCUGGAAACAGGAAUGCGUUCCAUGUUAACACAGGUUUCAAAACCCACCAUACUUUAUGCAUUCCAACGCCCACUUUAGGGACGGAAAAAAAAGAGAAUCAUCCAAACAAAAAACCCCAACCACAUCACACACCCACACAUCUCACUACAACAGAAACACUCUAUGCCUCCCUGCUGGGCCAGUCAUUUCCUACAGCACUUCCAAGAAUGAUGUUUUUCAAAAUGGCCUGUUAGAAAGUAAACCAAAGAACAAAGGAAAAGGCAAACACUGCAGAGCUGAGGAGAGCUUUCCUCUGAACCCUGGCAAUCUCUCUGGGCAUUGUGCUUUCUGUAAAAUGGGAAUAACCUUACUUAGCUCAUAGAAAGUUCCUGGGUUUUUUUGGGUGCCAAAAAAGGCACGAAAAGAAUUGCGUGAAAGACACGGUGUACAUGUACGUUACUGUACUCAGAUCUAACACAUGUGAAGAACUACUCCUUACAGUGAAUGUCAAAAAAUAUGCCAUUUUCCCUUUUCAUGUUCCCAUGAAAGAGGGGUUAACAAAAAAACCCAGCAGAAUCAAUAGUGCUUGACAGCUUUCACGUAUAUGUAUGGUAAUAUAUGUUUUAGACAAAAUUUUGUGCCCUUCAUUGACUACCACAUAGGACUUCAGUUGUCUUAUCAUAAAGAACGAAUUAUUUUUCCUUGUUUCAAACAAUGACUUAUUAACAUCUGGAAUUAAUCAGCAACAAUAACUGACUAAAACCAUAUAAACAAACCUCAGUAAUCAUUUUUAAGACAGGGGUCAGGAUGACUUGACUCAGUAUCUUGUAAGAAAUCAAAAAGAUUGUUUGGGGGAUGGGAAUCAGGAAAUCUCAUUACGUUAUGAAUAUGCACUUAUUAAAUGAGGCACUCCUUAGCGAAAUAAGUAGAAUUUGUCGUCCAACUUUUCAGACAUUUGGAAGUGCCCAACUGAUUUCAGUAUCUUACCUACCUUCUUAACCACGAAAGUGACUAUGAAGUAAAAGCUGCCGUAAGUCAAGACCACUGAACAAAAUUCCACUAGCUAUAAAUAAGUAAUAAGACUACCUACCUAAUUGCAUUUCAGCAUCACCUGUGAUUGUACAUUUGCAUUAUUUCUAUCACUGACUUGUUACCCUAAUGCAGGGAGAGCCUAUGACCACUUACAGGUUUACAGUUAGCUGAAGUCAACAAUCAACUUAGCCUUAAAUUCCUGACUUUCACUGACUUCUUUACUAUUGUAUUUCUUACACCAAAUACACAGGUAAACAUGCAACAACAUCUUCUGAAAACCUGAUGUGCACUAUCUGUUCAAAAUACUUUGUUUCUUCAGAAGAGUGCACUGCCAUUACCACUAGAAGACUUAUGCAAGAAAGUAUUUAAAGACUAAUUUAACCACCAAGUGCUUUGUUACAGAAUAUGCUAAAAGCACCAGGUCAAUGUGCAAAAAUACUGAGGAAGAAGUAAACUUUCAGGCAUUUAAUAUAGACUUUCACAACCUUUGCACUAAGUUCAACUUCAGACAGGAAAAUAUUAUUAACUAUAUACUGAUGAGUUAUCCAGCUCUUCUGCUGCUCCUAAUAUGUUUGUGGAGAACUUCAAAUAACUCCCUAUAUAAUUACAGUAAAAUUAACACGUGUCUAGCUUAAGACCCCAUGAAGAUCUUAGUUAGGUAUUUAAGACAAACUCCAAAAAAGAAGAUAAGUGAGUCAUGAGGAAAAAUGUCUUAACCUCUUCCUCCUGUAUUGUUCUCUCCCUCCCCAAUGGAAAAAAAAUCUGAGCACUGCUUUUCUCCCAGCUACAUGCCCCUGGAUGCCAACACCCACCAACAACCUUUUAAUGAGAGUCAAGCAUGACAAAUAGCUAGGCCUCCUUUAACCAGUAACAUGCACAGGAAAUGCCUAGGUCACAUGAAGCCACCAGCAUUUUGAAACUCAGAUUUCACCUAAGAAAUAAAAGAACAAUUUAACUUGAAACUUUCACUCUAUUUUUUGCAGUACUUCUACAGGAUUUAUGCUACUAUGAUUGUUGAAUAGCAAAUAACUGGUACCUGCAAAACGGUUAACAUUUACAUGAUCAUCACUAUCCAAAUGUAUUUACUUAGGUUUUGUAUUUCCCAAAUGUUAAAUGAGAACAAAUUAACAUGUUGAAAACAUGGUAUCAAAUGUAAAUCUAGCCACUCAAUUACAAAAGUGCAAUUAAGUUCAUAAAGAAUUUAUUUUAGGUGUUAGUUAAACCAUGAGGCAAGUUUUUGAGAAAUGGCAGCAUGAAGCAAGAGCUCUUCUGGCCUGGUAAGGAAGCAAGCCAAAAUUAAUUUGUUUAACAAGACAUGCAGGUAUGACCUCUGACCUCUCCUGUCCCACCCGAUCUACUCUGUAACUGAGAAAGGAUAGAGGUCUGUGAAUUAAUUCAGGGAAGGGGGGGGGGGGGGGGGGGGGGGGAGGGAAGGGGGAAACCACACCCUCCUGCUGACAAAAAAAACUACAAUUCUUUAAGGUAUUUUAUACAGGUUAGAAUUCUAACAUUUUGAUGGAACAAAAUUUGUAAUUGUUUCUCAGCAAAGCAGAGCUAGUGCUUACCUCCAAGUUCUGAAGCAUGUGGUGCCAACAGCUCUGCUCAUUUGCAUACAGUCAGGCUAAACUGCUGCAAUGAAGAACACUUCGGCAGCCAUUUUGAAACUGCACUGUCUCAGCUGCACUGAAAACGUGAUUAAGAUGGCUGCACUGUGCACUCAAGACCAGCCAUUCAGUGACAACUCAGCAGUGGAUAAGACAUUUAUACAGCAGAGCACCUCCCUCUUUGCCACACUGCAACAAACGGCACAGGGAGAGGAAGGCCAGAGAAAUGGGUUUUUAGGCAGAAAAUGGUUAACGCAUGGCUGCAACGUUGCAGCUACUGAGAGCACCACUGGCAAAGAGAACAGAAAAUAAACAAAAACCCAUUAGAUAUUAAGGGAAGCAGCCUUGCUAGGCCUGCAAUUAGGAUUUGUAUCACAUACUUCAAAUCCUCCCUAACUCCAGGCAGUUCGGAAUCCACUUCACAUAUUAACAGCCAUAGAUAGACCCACUUCAUGCCUAGAACUGACAAACAUUAGGGCAUACUUUUCAAGAGUAGUCUCAUUUCAAUCCUUUAAACAAAAGGAAAGUGACAACAAAAACGAAUACCAAACUAUAUCCAUACCUUCAUUUCAAAAGGGAUGGUAUUGUUAAUUUUGAAAUUUGAAAUAUUAGUUGUCCAAUAAAAGUUUUACUUGGGAAAAACAAAAAAAGACAGUUUGCUUUAGAAAUAAGGAAGCUAGAAAACCCCACAACUCAAGAACACUCAGGAACUUCAGUCACCACAGAAACCACAUAUCUAAUUCUUUAAGUCAUACAGUAUACAAGUUCACCCUCUCCAAAGAUCUAGAAUCCCUUCAGCAAUUUUUUUUAAUGUUUUUGUUUUUUAAAUGCAAAGAAGUCUGUCCUUAAAGAACAGAUUUGGGAACCUGGUGGGGGGUGGGCAUAGGAGGGGGAAGCGGAGUGCCAGAUGAAUGUACAAUUUUAAUGCAAGCUGAAGUUAAGCUAAUAAGGUUCCCCUUUAGGUUUUGUUCAUUAACGCCAAUCAUCUGCCGUCAUACAGGCAACAGUGCAUCAGAUCUGGAGGGAGCACUGCCAUAUCUGCCUUGCUGCAUCACGUAACCUGUCCUCUAGAAAAUCCAAAUACAGCUCUUUUAAAAAAAACUGCAAGAGCAGAUGGGGCUAUCUUGAAGGAAAUAAUUUAUUUUUUUUUUUUGUAAAGGUUAGGAGAAUAGAACAUGCCCUCCAUCCAUUCUUCUAUUAAAAUAUCUAAACUUACAUAACUGUGCAUGUAUCUGUUGCCAGUUGUAGCUGGUUAUUUCAGGACUGAUUAAUCAUGCCAGCAGUAGUUGUCUGAUGCGCUCAUCAGUGCUAGUAUUUCAAACUUAGUAUGUUUGAAUGCACUACCUGGCUAAUACGAGGACAAAGGAAAGCAUGGUUUGCAACACAAGGGAGAGAACAUCUAACACCUCUAGUAAGCUACAUUAAUUAUUAUGUUCAGAGGAUUAAAUUAAAAUAUGCUUUAAGUUCAAAUGCCCAAAAGACCAGUCUCUUAAGCAAAAUUUUGAGGACUGGGGCACAAUUUCAUUACACACCAGACACUUGAAAAUUACCUACUACACUGAAGCUUUUUUUGGUCAAGAUCCAUUACCACAUCAAAAUGAACUUUACAACAAAUUCAAAAGAAAUAUUUUUGAAUAACCAGUUAUAACCCCAAGUUGUUUACUCCAAGCUUUAUACAUAAAAUGUCUUCACCUUACAAUGAUUUACAAUAACUUUUAACAUUUCAAAACUCAAACUUACUAUUUCAUUUAUGACAAAUAUGUUCACUCUGAUUUCCACAGUAACAGGUGUUUUAAAUAGAAGAGAAUUCUACAAUUAGCACAUCCACAACAUUCCUAGAUCAAAAUGUGAGUUCUGAUCUCCAGUCCUGGAAAUUCAACAUAAACCUAAGGAGGGGUCACCACUGGAACCCAAGAGCUACACUUGUGCAAUACUGCAUUCUCUAACAUUUGGUCCUGGAACUCUCUAUACGGAAACUCAGUAACUUAAAUAGGUUUGUAUAGGCAAAACUACCUUGGCCUAUUUGAAAAAAAAUAAAAAUAAUAAAAAAAGAGAGAACGCUUCCCUCUGACCUAUAGAAAACAGUAUCCACGUCACAUACUGCAUGCAGUCAGUCACCUCAUCAGAAAACUUCACAAACACAGAGGUGCUGACAUGUUAAUACAGACACCCAGUCUCAAGAAAUCUAACCAAAUGCCAAGGAACCAUAUGCAUGUACUCAGACUUCAUUUCAGCAUACUUAACUCCACAGGCAUGUUAAUUAUUUAAAAAUAUUAGCCAAAUUGAAUAUUAAAAUAAAAUCAGAUAUUUAAUUAAACAUCAAAUUGAGAUCUGAAUAAUGCAUUUGUGAAUACUUUGGCCAAGGAACCACGAAGUGAAUCCAUAUUAAUGCAGAACUGCUACAUAAGCGUGAGAUUGCAACUUCUUAUUGCUACUUUGGGUAGCAUCUAUACAAGUUCUACAGAACUCAGAAAUAAAUGUGGAAAUCAGGCAUUUUUAAAAGGAUCCGAAAUUGAAUUUUAACUUGUUACCUCAUACGUUUACAUUUCUCUUACACACACAAUAAAAACUCCCAACAUUCUUAAUUCUGCCCUCUUUUAAUGACAAGACAACCCACUGAAGUACUAUUUCAGCAAGUUCAAUUAUUCUAGUCACAAGUUAAUUUCUAAAAUGGAGCUUCCCUUUUCCAACCUUAUCAUGAACAUCAAACACGAAACUCAGAGAACUGUAGCCUGUCAUUUCCCUGUUUCCUUCCUUACAAGGAAGUAAUACAAGCAGGCACUCCCCUCCCCCCUAAUGCCAUUAUGUAGGGUCAGAUUUUAUACUAUGGCUCUGACCCUAAAGAAUCAAUUGAUAAGGCAGAAAAUUACAGAUUUUCAGACGGGGUUUUAAGUUUUCACAUUAUAAUGUCAGCAAAAAGAAGCCAAAGCACAAAAACAUUUAUUUUGCUGAAGUUGUAGAUCCAAAGAUCAGUCUACUACAUAUCAUCCACACUUCUUUGGGCACAAAACACACCUCAUCCAUAUUAUUUACCCUUUUCUUUUGAGUAGUAUCUUUAUUAAGUGAACAAAACAAUUCCUCCACUUAAUGAAGUACACAUCUGAUUUAAAGUUUCAGUGGACCAUCUACUGAAACCCUCCCUUAUGCCUGUAUUUACACAGUCAAGUAGACUAACACAAGAAAAAAAAAAAUCACAGAGAACUGCAAGAACUUGGUAGAUUAAAGUUACUUUAACUACUGGGGGGGGGGGGGGGGGGGUGGAAAUCCAUGACGCCCAUAAGACAAGGAACACUAGAGUCAGGAAAAGUCAAAGUUUGCACAACACCCAAGUUCUUCCUGCAAGUCCAAACCACUUGAUGGUAGGACCAAUGAAGGAAACUGUUACCAUAGUCAGCAAGUGUGUAUGCCAAUGUGCUAGUUUUCUAAAAACACUUUGAAAUGCUCUUUAAAAAAAAAAAAUAGUGUGCAAUGUUUAUGUAAAAGUGCCUUGUGGAAACUGCAAUAGAAUCACAGAAUCAUUCAAGUUGGAAGAGACCUCUAAGAUCACCUAGUCCAACCUCUGACCUAACACUAACAAGUCCUCCACUAAACCAUAUCAUCUAAACGUCUUUUAAAGACCUCCAGGGAUGGUGACUCAACCACUUCCCUGGGCAGCCGAUUCCAACAACCCUCUCAGUAAAGAAGUUCUUCCUAAUAUCCAAGCUAAACCUCCCCUGGCGCAACUUUAGCCCAUUCCCCCUCAUCCUGUCACCAGGCACGUGGGAGAAUAGACCAACCCCCAUCUCGCUACAGUUUCCUUUAAGGUACCUGUGGAGUGUGAUAAGGUCGCCCCUGAGCCUCCUCUUCUCCAGGCUGCACAAUCCCAGCUCCCUCAGCCGCUCCUCGUAAGACUUGUUCUCCAGACCCCUCACCAGCUUUGCUGCCCUUCUCUGGGCUCGCUCGAGCACCUCGAUGUCCUCCUUGUAGUGAGGGGCCCAAAACUGAACACAGUACUCGAGGUGUGGCCUCACCAGAGCCGCAUAAAGGGGGACAAUUACUUCCCUAGCCCUGCUGGCCACACUGUUUCUUAAUAGGUUGGAGACAACUGUGGAAGGAAUUUCCUGUCAUGGCAGGUGUCUUUUUUUUGUUAUUAUUAAACAUAUUGCUUCUUUAUGGUAUUGUGAAAUUGAGGAUAACGCAAAGGACAGCACAAAAUGACAGCAUUGCAAAUAUACCGGUUAUUUUAACAGCUAGAUGAAAUACUUCUGUUCAUGUCAUUCAUAUACCUCUGCAUUAAGUAUGUGAGUUUACUUAAAAUUAUCUUCAGAAACUGAAUCUAGAAGAGAAAACCUUUUUCUGUAUUAAAUACAUAAGGUUAAACAUAAGAAGUAAACUGUACUGGUACACCUAAGUAUCAUAAUAAAUAAGUUAUUAAAAAUUAUUCUGCAGACAGCCAUCUAAUUUACUUAAGACCUCCUGUGAUUUGAUGUUUAUUCCUGGAAGAAAUAAGAGCUGAUACUCAUCAGUACAGUUUUUAGACAUUUAUAGCAUACACAUCUCAAAAUCAAACAUCGUGAAGGGCAAAGCUAGUGGGUGUUUAUUUAUUUAUUUUAAACGUUGUUUAAGUUGCUGGUAAAUCACAAAGGAACAUCAAGGGCAUUUAUAUGAACACAUAUGUAUACACAGUAUCCUGAAUUGCUCCACAAUGACACGAUGAAAGCUUUCAAACAACUGAGGAUCAGGCAUUUAUUUAAUACCACAUAGUUACUAUUAUGCCUUUAGCUACAACACCAAGGAAUCCUUACUAAAAAAAGAGGGGGGGGGAGAGGUGAGGGGGGAAGACCUGCUGUUACAAACACGGGCAAUUUUUUAAAGUUUAUGUCAGUAAUACUAAACAAGAUAAUGAGCACGCAACAGAAAAAAACAAAACCACAUUUCCUGCAAAUUUGUAAACACUAUCUUGUUACUUUUUUAUCAGAGUAGCCCCAGGUUAUUAUCGGUGCCUUACCGCACCAGGCAAGCAUCUGUACCAUACAGCCUGAAGUUGUAUGCUAAUGCAACAGCCUCCAUACUGCUUUAACAGACAGUACCUAUGUUCUGGCUGACCAGCUACUUAUCACCCCAAAACAAUGUGUUCCUGUGAGGUUCUCCAUGCCUUUUACAUCAUUGGGGAUAGUGGUAAUCUCUCCUCACCCCAACUGCUUAUUUUCACAAAUUUGCUGGAAUUAAUUAUCUUGGAGACCUACUACUGUCAGAUUUAUUGACAACAAUCAAGUCUUUCAAGAAUUUUUGAGGACAGAUCAAUCAACAGACAAUGAUCACACAAAGUUGGGCUACCAUACUAGAAGUGAGCAGGUUUCUGCUAAAGCCUGCGGGCUGUGACAAUUAAAACAUGUUUUGUCAUGUACUUUUUGCAAUUUUUUGCUUAAGAAACACAUAUAUUUGUUAAAUACAUAUUUUAUUAGUGGCACAGCACAAGUACCGUUUAAUAGCCUUUAUGCACUUACAAAAAUUUCAUGCAAACAUUCAUUUUUCACUAACAGCAUUCUGGUUUUAGUGUCGAACGUAACCUCAGAUGAAAACAUAAAUAAAGCCAUAUAAAACUCAAGUGUAACUGCAAUUCUACUGUCCAUUCUGGGAUUUUAUAGUUUUACUGUAUGUACACAAAUAGUCAAAACAGACCAUUAGUAGCAAUCAGAAAUAAAAACUACAUUAACUAGAGCCAGAAUAUGCAACAGAAGUAAAAACAGAACUA